rnacentral:RNase_P_RNA from 1 species
AGUUGACUAGACAAUCGCUGCCCUUUGAGGGGGGAGGAAAGUCCGGGCUCCAUAGGAUAAGGUGCCAGGUAACGCCUGGGAGGCGUGAGCCUACGGAAAGUGCAACAGAAAAUAUACCGCCUUUUUGAAGGUAAGGGUGAAAUGGUGUGGUAAGAGCACACCGCGCCAGUGGCAACGCUGGUGGCAGUGUAAACCCCACCUGGAGCAAGACCAAAUAGGAAUCCGUAUGCUGUUGUCCGCGGUUGGAUUCGGGUAGGUCGCUAAAGAUUCAUGGUGACGUGAAUCGUAGAUGAAUGAUUGUCCACGACAGAACCCGGCUUAUAGUCA